CCCUUAAGGAAAUUUACCCACUCGGUUUUCAAUCUUUUUCUUUUGCCCUCUUAUUUUUUAAUAUUUCUAAAGUAUCCUUUUCAAAUAUCAAAAGAAAAAUAGAAGAAAAAUUGUCCAUUUUUCCCUUGAACCAGAACGAACUAUGAAGAAAAGAGGAAGACAAAACAGCUCUAAGAUCUCUUCUCUCUCUCUCUCUCUCUCUCAAUCAUUGUGAAAUCCUUUGGUGAGUACAGAGAAAGAGGAAUUAAGGCAAAUAACCUUCAAGAAUUGCACAAGAUAAUUCUCCUAUCGUCUGUGCUGAUCUCACAAUGAAGAAAUCUGAUAAGGAACCACCCCAGGACACUAUAAACGUUUAUGAUGCAAUUUUGGAGUCCCAUGGAAAUUCCCCCGGGUCUUAUUCCACACUUUAUGAUGAAAGGGGAGUUAGCAUGGUGUAAAGUGAAGAUUGAGGGAAGUAAAGCAAAAUUCCCUUCUGGGGUAUUCCGUAGCUACCGUUUCACUGGCUCUAGUAUUCACUGGCUUUCAAGGAAUGGAAUAUUAUCAAGCACCCUUCACUAUUUCGGAUAGUAUUCAUGGUUCUACCUUUUUCUUCGCAACUGGCUUUCAUGGUUUUCAUGUGAUUAUAGGUUCAACUUAAAGAAGCUCACAUAUGAAGAAAGGAAGAACCAGUUAAUUGAAGGAUUGACCAAAUUUGGGCAGUGGCAUAAAUUUUCAAAGGUACAUAGCCUAAAUUUUUCUCCCUAAUUUUGUCUUUAUUUUUUAUGAAGUAUGGAAGAAUGUGAAAUUUUUUAUGCUGAGGAAUGUGGAUUUUGUAUGCUGGAAGAAUUAUAUGUUGUGCUUUUUUGUAUGCUAGAAGUAUGGAGAUUGAAGACUGAAUUGUAGAGAAUAGAAAUUGAAGUUUUGGAAGAAUUGUAUGUUUUGUUUGGUUUUUUAAUUGUAUAUUCUAUUUAACUUGAAGUUUUAUUUUGUUUAUUUGCAUUACAAGGUCAUAUGAAUGGUGACAUUGACAUAUUCUCCAUCAACUAGCUAAAGCAAAAUUCUAAGUGAAUUAGCUCAUAAUAUAUAUCACGUGUGCAAUAUCUUUGUCCCCAAAAUUCAUAUUUAUGUAGACUCACAUAUAAUGUGCAUCAUAGUUUUGUUCACAUAUUGUUUAAUAUAUUAUGUAAGUUGUUUCAUAUAUUCAAAGUCUAAAUACACUACUAUAUCUUGGUUGUUUACCCUUUUUUUUAAAAAAAAAAAAAAAUUUAAAGCAUUUUAUCCUCCUACUGCAGCUCUCUUAUGUUAACUAUGAUUUGGAGGAAAUGGAUUUUAUUAUGUCCAUGAGAGAAAAUAACUUGAUAAUCUUUUGGUUUAUUCUUUUAUAUGACAUAUUCUAAAUUAUUAACAUGUAGUUUUGUAUGUUAUUGAUGUUUGAUUUGUUUACCUAAAGAGCUUUUCUUUUAUGUUAUCUAACCUUUUUGGAUAAACUUUUCUUUGGGAACAUGGAUACAACCUUUUUUCUUUGGGGACAUGUUUACAACCUUUCUUUAUCAUAGUGUUGGGAAUGAGGAGUGUACUUGAUUAGGCUGAUAAUACACAUGCCGUAUAGAGAAACCUGGCUUUCCUUGUGUCCAUGCAAUUGCAGCAUGUAAGCAUGGACAUAUUUCUCCAUAUAUUUUUUGGUCGGCGCAUUACUCAGUUGACUCACUCCGUUACGCAUAUUCGAAAACCAUAUAUCCACUUGAAGAUAAAUGUCAGUGGCAUGCUCUAGAUGAUAUCAUAAAUCAGCUUGUACUUCCACCUAAGAUUGGAAAACAGUCAGGAAGACUAAGAAAGAAGAGGAUUCAAUCUCAAGGAGAGGAGCGUCAUCAAUAUAGAUGCGGGAGGUGCAAACAGAUUGGUCACAGCAGCCGAUCAUGCUCAACCACCAUACCUUUUGAUAGCACUACCAACCAACAGCACCAUUCAACUGAAGGACCAUAAAUCGCUCUACGCUAUAUUAAGACAAUGGGGGCAUGUUAUGUGGUAUGUGUGUGUUAUGCAAUGUAGUAAGGAAUGCAAUUAGUAGCUCAAUCGCAUAACGUGUGCUUUGGCAUAAUAGACGUUGGUUUUAUGUGUUGUUUUGUUGGAAAAGUCAUCUGUCGUAUUAUGUUGAUAAAAUAUUAAUGACCCUAAACAGAAAAAACCCCAAAAGUUUGGAAAAAGUUCUCAAAUUGGCAAAAUAUUUUAUUACCCUAGGUUUUAUCGGUAAUUACCGAAACCCCUAUGGUAAUCACAUUUUUUCAA